rnacentral:rRNA from 1 species
GAUGAACGCUAGCGGCAGGCUUAAUACAUGCAAGACGAACGGUAACUGUUGUAGCAAUACAACAGCAAGAGUGUCGUACGGGUGCGUAACACGUAUGCAACCUACCUUGUACAGGAGGAUAGCUUGGGGAAACUCGAAUUAACCCUCCAUAAUAUCAUGAGAUGGCAUCAUUUUAUGAUUAAAACUGAGGUGGUACAAGAUGGGCAUGCGAUGAUUAGUUAGUUGGCAGUGUAACGGACUACCAAGACGAUGAUCAAUAGGGGACCUGAGAGGGUGAUCCCCCA